GCCUGGCUAGCUCAGUUGGUGGAGAAAGGGUCUCUUGAUACCUGGAUUGUGGGUUUGAGCCCCAUGCUGAACA